AUUUUAGCAUAAGUAUGUCCCAUGCAAUACUUGGGACAUACUAAUGCUUAAA
rnacentral:pre_miRNA from 1 species